UAAUAGAUGAAUAGUGGUUAUGGCGUGUGACUCAAGCGAAAGCUUGCCCUUGAAUAAGGCGCGUGUUCUCAUGGGCUUUGCCCGCGUGGGUUCGAAUCCCACUCUUGUCAA